UACGUAGGUGACAAGCGUUGUCCGGAUUUACUGGGCGUAAAGCGCACGCAGGUGGCUGAGUCAGUCGAUUGUGAAAGCCCUGGGCUUAACCUGGGAAUUGCAGUCGAUACUACUCAGCUAGAGUAUGGGAGAGGGUAGUGGAAUUCCCGGUGUAGCGGUGAAAUGCGUAGAUAUCGGGAGGAACAUCAGUGGCGAAGGCGGCUACCUGGCCCAAUACUGACACUCAGGUGCGACAGCGUGGGGAGCAAACAGG
rnacentral:rRNA from 1 species